AAAAACAUGUUCUUUAAUUUUAAAUUAAAGAUUGGCCCUGCUCAAUGAAAAUUUUAAAUAGCCGCGGUAAUUUAACUGUGCUAAGGUAGCAUAAUAAUUAGUCUUUUAAUUGAGGUCUGGAAUGAAUGGGUUGACAAGGAAAUAACUUUAUUUUAUUUAAUUUUCUUAAAUUAAUUUUUUAGUUAAAAAGCUUAAAUUUUUAAAUGGGACGAUAAGACCCUAUAGAUCUUGAUUUUUCUUUUUUUUUAGUAUUUUAUUAAAUUUUAUUAUUUAUUUAAAUUGAAAAAUUUAGUUGGGGUGAUUGUUAAAAAUUUUAACUUUUAUAUUUUUUUACUUUAAUUUUUGUAUUAUUUGAUCCUUUCUUUGGAUUAUUAGAUUUAGAUACCUUAGGGAUAACAGCGUUAUAUAUUUGGAGAGUUCAAAUUGAUAAAUAUGUUUGCGACCUCGAUGUUGGAUUAAAAUUAAUUGUGGGGUAGGUUUUACAAUGUUAGGUCUGUUCGACCUUUAAAAUUUUACAUGAUCUGAUUU
rnacentral:rRNA from 1 species